rnacentral:rRNA from 1 species
GACGUAGGGAGCGAGCGUUGUCCGGAUUCAUUGGGCGUAAAGAGCGCGUAGGCGGUUUGGUAAGUCGGAUGUGAAAAUCCGGGGCUCAACCCCGGACGUGCAUCCGAAACUGCCCGACUAGAGGUAGGUAGGGGAGAUCGGAAUUCCUGGUGUAGCGGUGAAAUGCGCAGAUAUCAGGAGGAACACCGGUGGCGAAGGCGGAUCUCUGGGCCUUACCUGACGCUGAGGCGCGAAAGCUAGGGGAGCAAACAGG